rnacentral:lncRNA from 1 species
CUCCUUCGGUCCCAAUUUACCUCUGAAUAAAUCUCAAAAUUCAUGAGCAUGUUAGCAGGCGUAAUCCAGCCCCGAUGUGCCGUUUUCAGAGAGGAGAGAUUAGCAGUCGGCUAGUUUUUGUUAGCAGCAGCAGUGUAGGUGGUCGACAAAAGCCUCUACAACAUUAAAAAACAAAAAAAAAUGGUCUGAAGGUAUCAGCCUGCUGCAUCGGGAGGCUAAAUAGGUGGUCUCAGCUGCGUCUGAUUUAUCGACGCCCCUCAAAGGGGAGCUGUGUUUCUUGUCAACUCUCGGGGUGAAGGGGAGGUGGUGGGAGAAGGGGAAGAAAAAGAGUGAUCAUUUGUGCUGAUCGGGCAAAUUUUCUGUCAACAGGCUCUGGCAGAUGAGCGCGCGCAAUAAAAGCAUCGCCAAGAAAAAAAAAAACCUUUCUCCAGCCUCCAGAUGAGUAUUUGCGUCUCCUCCGUAGGCCGUUGCUCCCCGCGCCUCCUCGCAGCAUUUAUAUUCCAGCAAAGUGAAGUAAUUACCAGCGAGGCACGCUCAAUAAUUACAAACCCUCCGUCACGCUCAUGUAGGUUGCAAAGUCUCUGACAGACACUUCGCUGGAGGAGCAGCCCAGAAGUUGCAGCUAGCAGCGUCUCCUCCCGCGCCGCCACGUGUCCGUCGGCAAAUCGGCAUGAAAUUUGCUUAAUUAUCAACUGCAAAUCGACAAAAUAUUAGGUGUUGUUGACUGUAAUCCCAUUUCGCCCCAGUUUAAUUUCCUCGACUCUUCGCCUGUCGGCGUGUUUACACGGGAUUGGACACGGUGGCGUCCCGCAGAUCCCGGCUAUCCAGUGCAGCAUCCAACCAGGAGGCGUCGGGGAGCGAACCCUUUAAUUAGCAAAACGCAGCCCUUAAUGCUCGUCUCCUUGAGAGUUUGACCCUAUUUGUUUGUGCCGAGGUAAUUUCAUUAGGCCCGUGCGAUUCCCAGGAGCUGCUGCGAGUUAACGCUAAAUGCUCACCAGAGAGGGGAUAAGUAUUUGGCAAAGCAUCAGCAAAGAGGAGAGCAGGAGCGGCGAAGCUCAAUAACACUUCUUUCAUGUUGAUAAAUUCCAUUAGCGCUCAAAGGCUGCUGUUUGUGCUCUAUUUUAUUUAUGAUAAUGCUCCGGCGUUCCCGGCGAGGUGGGAUUCAUCACCAGUGCCACCUAUGUAGCCUGACAGCAGGCGGCACACGUCUGUGAUUUGUUCGGAACGUCGAACAUCGCUCUCAGGCCGCAAGCAUCCCAUCCCGAAACUGCACGGAACCGGCUCGGUUCUCCUCAGGAAUGGUGGAAAAAUCACAGACCAGCAUCGCGCGGUAGCAUUAGCAAGAGCUAACUUUAUCGCUAACAUAAAAGGAAGGAGAGGAACUCAUUCAUCGGGACAGUCAAUUCCCCACUGUCACUCUAAAUAACCUUUUUGUCCGAUUUAUUUUUAAAUCAGGAGUUAUAGUUUGUAGUGAUGCGAGUUUUUCUCAAACUUUGAUUAUUCUUAUUAUUUU